AUUUUAUUAAUUUAGUCUAUUUCAUUCCUUUUUACGUUUACCGUCUAAUGCGUAUAAUACUAGGUUGUCUACUUGCUACCAAUAACUCAUUUUAUAACAUUACAAUCAAACAAUAAUUAUUCUUCAAAGUAAUUCGCUUCUGAUAGUUUUCAUCCAUCUUUCUGCCAAUUGUUCAAUCCCCAUUUGGAUGUCAAACGUCAUACAGAAUUUUAAUGUCAAAAAUUCAAGCAUUAAAUGACAAAGAAUUUUAAUGUCAAAAAUUCAAGCGUUAAAUGUCAUAAAGGAUUUUAAUGUCAAAAAUUCAGGCUACAAAGUGUCUGCGAACUUAUGAGACAACCCAGUAUAUGCGUAUAACAAGGUAUCGACGAAAUACAAAAAAUAAAGCAAAAUAAUUUAUGUACGCGAUACGGUAUACUUUUUAUAAUAGCGAAAAGCGACCGGUUAAGGUGUCUGCACAAUUUAUUUUCGAAGCGGAGCGACUUUCAAAUUCGACCUUUGAAAGCCGAUGCAAUAAUAGAACGGUAUAUAAACCGAGACGCGCGUUUAGUGCCAACUGCGAGUAAUGUUCGAGUACAUGUUUAAUGUACGAAAAAGUUUCGUUUUAAAGAGAAUUAGAAAACUGUUGUCGUGCGUUUGCGUUAAACGAUAGAGAAUUGGGUCGAAGCGGAACGAGCGCAUAAUUUGUACGACGAAGUCGCCGUGCAUCGAGGAAUUCGUGUCGUCGUGGAGGUUGCGAUGCGCGAAAAAUCUUUUCUGCCUCGGAGUAUCUGAAACGCAGGAAACACGGUGACUUAACCCUCCGUACCCUCUGUGGUGUGUAUAGAGGGCGGAAGUACCGUAACGGCAACCGACGUCAGCAGUACCACUACAUCUUCGAGAUCUUAAGUACACAAACCCCGUUACAUAGAAACCCCGCGAAACGACGAGAAAGAAGAAAGGAAAAGAAAUAGAAAAACGGAGAAGCCGCACAAGUUUCGAUCGCAUCGCAACGAUUUGGAGUAAUCGUCGGUAGUCGGGGCUCGAGAAGCGUGUACGAGAUUGAGAUCGACAGGAUUAUAUUCGGUCUCACCGGUACAUAGAUAGCACACUGGGCCAGUCAAUCGAUAGAUUAGAAUUUUCAUUUACCGUGAGUCGACGGAUGCACCGUAAGCGAAUACUUUAUCGGACAUCGAUGACACAGGUUGAUUCGACGGUUAAGCAAUCUUGCGAGCGAUAAAAAAAAAAAAAAAAUCCAAAGGCUGCCGAUAGGUUUCCGAUUCGGUUGAUCACAGAGCACGGGGUACAGGCGUCAUAGUCGAUGGGAUCGAAAAAUCACUGCCGGCACUCGGUCAGUCAAUCGAUAGCGCGGAAUUAGUAUAACCGUGUUUGCACGGCUGACACGAACCCAACGAACGUUGAUGCGUAUCGGUCGAUGCGAAACAUGCCAGAACGAAUUUCGGUUCGGCUCUCGACUCGGACGAUGCGACUCGGCGACGCGUCAGCUCGUAGAAAUUGGUCGAUCGACGGCCACGAAGAAAUCAGGUUGUAUCUUCUCGCGAUCCGUCCACGAUAAUGCCGCAAAGGGGUCACGAUGAUUACUGACUGCGAGCGUCGCGACGUUAUCCCGCGGACGGGCGCAUGCGCGGCGACGACCCCUUUUUACCACCGCUUGCUCCAACAUCCCUUACGCGAAUUUCUUUUUCCCCGGUGAAGGUGCAAUUCUACCGUACGGUUGACGUAUCGUCGCAGCGAUUCUCAACUCGCCGAUCAAUUCACCCUUAGGACCGAAUAAACAACAGAACCGAAUAACCUCGCACCCUAAUUGUAUCGUUAUCGACCUUUCGUCGCUCGAUUAUUCUAAUUACGCAUCUACCCGGGGACUUUCAAAACUAAUUACGUGUGGAUUUCUAUCCUAGGUAGGAUUUUUUAUUCAAAGGAUUUAAUCGGUGAAAUGUCUUUGAACGACAAGUUUUUAACAUUGAAUUAAAUCAACUUUAUUUCGUUACAGUUACGUGAGAUCGGUAUAACGCAAAUUUUGCGACAGUGUAUGGCGCGCGAUGCAAUGCGACGAAUAAACUUGGUGUCUAUUUUACAUAACAAAACAGUGACGAAUCAAACAACGAAAAGACACUGCAAUUCGUCGCAAUUGAAACGGCAAUUUAUCAAUAGAGUAUUAGAUGAAAGGACCAAGUUUUAUCAUCGGAGAAGUUUCGCUCGCUCGGCGCGUCGUAAAUACGAAUAAUAAAACGGAAACGAAAGAGUAUCGGUACGCUAUUAUCCGAAUGGAAAGCGAACAGACUUCGCGGCGUCGUAUUUCCCUUUCGCGAGCUUUACGAGACGAGCUACAUACGCGCAUUCCGGAGUACGAUUUCAGCUUGACCCUCGUUUCCUGGUAAACAACCGAUUAAACGGGAAAUUUAUUUUUAUCUUGCCGCUAGGUGACGUAAAGACGUCGUUAUAAAUAGUUCCAUAAGUAUCCUAUAAUUACGUCACGUCGACGAAACCUUUGAAAUUCCCUUCUUCGACCCAUAACACGCGGUUCAGUGGGCAAUUGCAAGUGGAUUUUCGUGAAGCGUGAACAACCCCUCAAGCUUUCCUGUUCUUUGAAAUACACCCCUCUAUAUAUACAUAUACAGACUUCGCUGAGCAAGGGUUCCUGCGUGGGAUGCAGAAGCGCGAGACCUUCUCUUCUCCUGGUGGCUUCGUGUUGUUCGUAAAGAGCCAAAGCCCUCGCGACUUCAAACUUUCUCGCCGUUAAAAAUUUCACGGCUGUGCUCCAU